rnacentral:rRNA from 1 species
AGGACGAACGCUGGCGGCGUGCUUAACACAUGCAAGUCGAGCGGUAAGGCCCUUUCGGGGGUACACGAGCGGCGAACGGGUGAGUAACACGUGAGCAAUCUGCCCUUCACUUCGGGAUAAGCCUCGGAAACGGGGUCUAAUACCGGAUAUGACUGCGCUACGCAUGUGGUGUGGUGGAAAGUUCUGGCGGUGAGGGAUGAGCUCGCGGCCUAUCAGCUUGUUGGUGGGGUAAUGGCCUACCAAGGCUUCGACGGGUAGCCGGCCUGAGAGGGUGACCGGCCACACUGGGACUGAGACACGGCCCAGACUCCUACGGGAGGCAGCAGUGGGGAAUAUUGGACAAUGGGCGAAAGCCUGAUCCAGCAACGCCGCGUGAGGGAUGACGGCCUCGGUUGUAAACGUCUUCUAGCGCCGACGAAGACGAAAGUAGACGGUAGGCGCGAGAAGAAGACAACCGGACCGAACUAACCGUAGCCAGCAAG